GAUGAACGCUGGCGGCGUGCUUAACACAUGCAAGUCGAACGAGAAGUGGAGACGGAAACCUUCGGGCGGAAGACUUUAUUUCGAGUGGCGGACGGGUGAGUAACGCGUGGGUAUCCUGCCUCAUACAGGGGGAUAACAGUUGGAAACGACUGUUAAUACCGCAUAAGACCACAGCACCGCAUGGUGCGGUGGUAAAAACUCCGGUGGUAUGAGAUGGACCCGCGUUCGAUUAGCCAGUUGGCGGGGUAACGGCCCACCAGAGCGACGAUCGAUAGCCGAUCUGAGAGGAUGACCGGCAACAUUGGGACUGAGACACGGCCCAAACUCCUACGGGAGGCAGCAGUGGGGAAUAUUGCACAAUGGGGGAAACCCUGAUGCAGCGACGCCGCGUGAGUGAAGAAGUAUUUCGGUAUGUAAAGCACUAUCAGCAGGGAAGAAAAUGACGGUACCUGAGUAAGAAGCCCCGGCUAACUACGUG
rnacentral:rRNA from 1 species